UACAUGUGAGAGGAAACUAUAUAGUUGGCGGGGCCAGAGUGGGCAACGUAUCCCCAGAAUCAGGGGAGGGGCGCAGCAAAUUUGCUAAGGAAUUUCGGGGGGUACAUAGUGCAAACCUGGACCGAGGACACUGUCCGGGGUCUUGCAGAGACGUGAAAACUACCUUAAGCCUCAGGUUUCGCGCGGGGAAUCCUGGGAGAGUCAGCAGCGCUGCGGCAGGAACCGCUGCCGGGCGGCCCGGGAACCUCCCAGGACUUACUGAUGAAGUGGAACAAGGAGCCCUGGAUGGUGAAGAGAGAGAAGACAGUAGCAAAGGAUACACGUACAAAAGUGCAAGAGGAGGAAACUCAGAGAAGGGCAAUAGGGAAAAAUGGCUGGCUUUCCAGUAAAUACAUUCCAGGGUUUGUUGACAUUCCGCGAUGUGGCUGUGGAUUUCUCCUCGGAGGAGUGGGAAUGCCUGGAUUCUGCUCAGAGGGCUUUGUACAUUGGUGUGAUGUUGGAGAAUUACAGCAACCUGGUGUCUGUGGGUAUUGUGUGCAAGACAGACCUGGUCCCCUGUCUGGAGCAAAUCUGCAUGCCCUGGAAGGUGAAGAGAGAGAAGAUGGUGACCAAACCAGGUAGAGAGAAGCAUCAAGUGUGCAGUGAAUCUGAGAAGGUCUUGGAUCAAGAUUCAAAGAGUAUCAUCUAUGAGUAUGUGGAUAUGCAGUGGAAGUCCAGUGAAUGUAAUGAACUUGGCAAAAUGCUUCAGGAAUCUUCCAGAUGGAUACUUUGCAAAGCAAAUAAUACUCCAGAAAUCUGCAACAAAUACAGAUUUGGUAACUACGGGGAUGCCUGUUUUGAAUCA
rnacentral:lncRNA from 1 species